UGUCUUUGUGUUUGUUAUCGUUUAGGAAUGCAUACAUAUAGCACUGCGUGUGUAUCUGUGUUUGUGUGUCUAGGAGAACUCAUCCAUGUGUGCACAUAUCUAAAAACAUAUAUGUGUCUGUGAGUUUCUAUCUGUCUGAAUGUGUGGUUGUGUGUGCCAGGAUAGAAACACAAAAUGGUUUGGUAAGGACCCUGUGAUGUCUGAUGGUAGUUCACAUGCUCUCUAUCCUCACUAGUAAGUAUCUCCCUGGGUGGAAAGGAGCCGUAGCAAAAAAACUCUUUAGAGGUAAGUGACCUCUAACGCAACAUUGUUAGUGUUCGUUGGGAGCUCUCUGUAUGAA